ACGACCUUACUUGAACAGGAUCUGUUCUAUAGGAUCGUACCUCUGUAUCCUUUAUCACUAAGGAGACAGGAACCUAAGCCUGGUGGAUGAAUAAUGACCGUGUGAUCAUAGCGUGAGUAUUGGCUUUGAUGGAUCGUCAGAUCAUAUCAUUGCUGAAGAGGAUCGUUUCCUAGCCACUGACCUGUCUAGGAAUGAUCAUGCGGUUGUCUGACAGGC
rnacentral:snoRNA from 1 species